rnacentral:rRNA from 1 species
GGGGAGCUUGUACAGGUGCUGCAUUGGCUGUCGUCAGCUCGUGUCGUGAGAUGUUCGGUUAAGUCCGCUAACGAGCGCAACCCUCGCUGUGUGUUACAAGUGUCACACGGAACUGCCGGUCAUAAACCGGAGGAAGGUGGGGAUGACGUCAAGUCAGCAUGGCCUUUAUAUCCUGGGCUACACACACGCUACAAUGGGAAGGGACGAUAGGUUGCGAAGCCGCGAGGCGGAGCCAAUCCAUAAAGUUGGUCUCAGUUCAGAUUGUAGGCUGCAACCCGCCUGCAUGAAGAUGGAGUUGCUAGUAACCGCAGGUCAGCUAUACUGCGGUGAAUACGUUCCCGGGGCUU